rnacentral:lncRNA from 1 species
UUGACCUUCAAACUCGUCCAUUCCUUGUGCUCCAUAAGCAUACACUCCAUUCCAGCUCAAUUUUGCUCUAAAAUGCUCCAUUUUGCACUUCUUUGCAUACUUUGUCUCUAAAACCUGAAAUUGCACGAAAAUGACUUUAAACACUAAAAUAACUAAAGAAAAACAACAUAAAUGCACAAGAACAAGCCCACUAAGUCGCAUAAAUAUGCUCCUAUCAAAUUCCCCCACACUUAGCUUUUGCUAGUCCUCGAGCAACACUUAGCUUUUGCUAGUCCUCGAGCAAAACAAAACAAAAACAUAAUCUAAACCUUCCAACAUUUGCCUCAGGGAUUUCCAAUGCACAUGACAUGUUAAAAAUCAUCACUCCCACAGAUUUUAGUCAUCUUCACACUUAAGCACAUACUUAAUCAUAGUCACCACUUACUAGUUCACAUUUAACCAUUUAAAACGAUGUUUUGAAUGUAGUAACAUGCCUUAGAGAAUUUGCUCAAUUCCUUACUAGAUAUGCACUCAAUUUUCACACAGAUUUUCUGACUACACACCCUAUACUAGUUAUAUGUGAGAGG